rnacentral:tRNA from 1 species
GGAGGGGUGGCUGAGCGGCCGAAAGCGACGGUCUUGAAAACCGUUGGGGCGCAAGCCCCCGUGGGUUCGAAUCCCACCCCCUCCGCCA